UGUAGGAGUGAGCCUGCUCGCGAUAGCAAUUCGUCUGUCAGUGCUGCUGUGACUGACACACCGCCAUCGCGAGCAGGCUCACUCCUACA
rnacentral:misc_RNA from 1 species